UUCACAUUUGUAACAAGAAGAAAGCUUUGAAUUUACAAAAUGCUAGACUAUUUUUAGGUGGAAGAAAAUGAUCUCAUAUUUUGGCUUGCGUUUAGCUAAAUUGAUGCAUAGAUUUUCAGUACAGCAGAACAUACUUAAAUAGUCUGUCGGAUGCUUCUUUGUGAACGUAGCACGAAAUCUAAUUCCUGAACUGGAAAAUAAAUGAAAUGCAUAAUCUUUAUUAAAUGCUGUUAUAAGCAAACUAAGGAUGUUAGUAUGCUAUUGCUUUGUUACUUUAGAUAUAUUGAAAAGGUAACCUGGAAAAGAUACCCCUGUCUGAAUCAGUCCCAGUGCUUGAGAAGACAGAUUUGGGAACUCAUAUUAUGUCAUUCAUCUACCUUGACUUCACAAGAAUGGACACUUCUCAGUAAAGGAGAACAGAUACUUUCUGUCUAAGCCAGCAGAUUUUGAAUGGCAUUCCAUACUACAGCUGGUGACAGAUACUGGAAAGUUGGAUGUCCAAACAUUGGAUGCAGAUAGAUAGAAGCAGCACAGAUGUCACCCUCCCUAAUUUAUCGAUUGUAAUCCUUCAGCGAGGCCAGGAUAGCUGAAGCAAUAGCUGUGGAGGCCUUACCACCAACAAAACCCUGCCCCACACCUACGGAGAAAACUAGACCCCGACUUACAGGAUUUGUGGUAAACAGCCAUAAACUGUUCCAUCUGUGCUGGUGCAGGUGCUGGGAUCUCCAGUAGACAGUGUUGACAUCACAGCUGGUAUCCUAAUGCUGAUGGAAGCAGUCAGUGAAACUGCAGUGUCUGUGGGGCGUUAACAACAGCCUUUUCCUUUGCAUGGGAUUCCUCACGCCUCUUUAUGAAGACCACUGAAAAGAUCCUUCCACUUUGAAAACUCACUAUUUCUGGUUUUAAUUCCUGGCUUAAAUAUAUCCUAGGCCCACAAGAAGUUUUCAUUUCAUAAGACUUUAAUUUCUUCAAAAGCUUUUUGGAGGGGAAUUACACAAAAGGCAUUUUGAAAUUUGAAGCACUUCCUAAUGACGCAUCUUUAUUUAAAGAGUUGUCAUGGCCAAAACCCAUGAGCAAAAGACAACAACCAGGCAGAUCAGGCUGUGCUUGUAAGUAAAAAACAAAGGAUUGGUGACAGUGAGAGAGAAGGCUGCAAAUUUUGCUUGGGCAUGGAAUAAAGAAAACUCCAAACCACCACUGAAAGUUUAAUGAUGACAAGCACAUAAAAAUGGAAGUGACAAGAUUAUUUCGCAGAAGGAAAUUGUAACUUUCCAUAUUUAAAAAGGUUUGGGUGGAUUUUAUUGUUUUAAGUAGGUAAGAGGUGUUGAUUUGAAACCCAGGGUAGGGGGAGGUUUAAUGAUACAGAAAUAGAGAAUGUUUGAAGAUUAUGAUUCAUCACACCAGCCUGCUUGUUUUAAAAUAGAUACUUAUGUGUCUAGAUAGAUGGCUAUGAAUUUUCAACUUUUUCACCUAUUUAACUGUACAAAGUUUUGGCAUGAAGGAUAUGCGAAAACAUAUGCUCUGUGGUCCAACAGAAUCAACGUUAUAUAUGCAUAGAGAUCAGUGUGGUUUCAUUCCAGUUCACUCUUAUUUCAUAAAAUUUCUCCUAACAUCAUAGAAAAAAAAAGUCACAACACUUUUUGCCUGCCUCAACAUUAUGCAAUAAAUUAUUUAAUCAUUAUAAGCAUAAAGGCAGUGCCAUUUUCCUUAUGCGUGACAGUCUUCUGAAAAGGUAUAAAACUCAUUAAAUUAUGUUCUUAAGUCCAAGAUAUGAGGGAGUGUCUUUCUUCAAACUUUAUAAAUCCUUCAAACAGAUCUCAUUAGUUAGGCAUUUGAGGAUGAAACUAAUGGAUGCCCUGAGUAUGGUAAGACUGUAAGCUCUGCUAUGACUGGAACUCUAACAGGCACACUAAGCCUGAUUAGGCGCUGCCAGCAGUAUGGAGCUCAAACAGACUGAGUCACUGAAGGACAUACCCAACACUCAGUUGGGUUUUGCAGCCUGUGCUGAACUCUGUACUACUGAUACCCAAGUAAGACAAUUUAUAUUACACUGAGUACAUCUGCAAGGGAGACCUCAACAACAACAGCCUUGCAGACAAUUCCCAAGUUGCCAAUAUUGCCAACUGCCAAAUUAUUUCAUAGACUAAAAUUGUGUAGUUGCUGUUAUCAGAAUUCAAAUGGAAUACAGUGCGCUACUACAUACCACACAACAUGGCCUUCCUAACUCCUGUGAGACAUGGGAAUCAGUGAUGCAA
ensembl:lncRNA